rnacentral:rRNA from 1 species
AAUCUUCCGCAAUGGACGAAAGUCGGACGGAGCAAUGCCGCGUGAGUGAAGAAGGUUUUCGGAUCGUAAAACUCCGUUGUUAGAGAAGAACAAGGAUGAGCGUAAAUACUCAUCCCCUGACGGUAUCUAACAAGAAAGCCAUGGUUAACUCCGUGUGAGCAGCCGCGGUAAUACGUAGAUGGCAAGCUUUGUCCGGAUUUAUUGGGCGUAAAGCGAGCGCAGGCGGUUCUUUAAGUCUGAUGUGAAAGCCCCCAGCUCAACUGGGGAAGGUCAUUGGAAACUUGGGAACUUGAGUGCAGAAGAGGAGUGUGGAAUUCCACGUGUAGCGGUGAAAUGCGUAGAUAUGUGGAGGAACACCAGUGGCGAAGGCGACUCUCUGGUCUGUAACUGACGCUGAGGCUCGAAAGCGUGGGGAGCAAAC